rnacentral:tRNA from 1 species
GCCUGGCUGGCUCAGUCAGUAAAGCAUGCAACUCUUGAUCUCAGGGUCAUGAGUUCAAGCCCCAUGUUGGGCG